GCGGUGAAGGUGUGGUUAUCUCCCUUGGAGGUAACUAUGCGCGAGAGGGCAGUCAAAAGCACGUGGUCAAACACGACCUUUGACCGCAGACUACCAGGAUCUCCAGACAGAAGAUUUCCUCGCAAGUCUUGUUACGUGUCACAUUCAGAUCUACCACGGAGGGCAUUGUGGCUAAGAGUUUUAAACAGAUUGGUCUUGGGUAAUCAUGGCACAUUGAAAUUGCGGGGUCAGCAGUGCCAUUGAAUCGAGACCCAACGACCAAGCGAGAAUCAACGACUCCUUGCAACAUUUAAAGGUGUCAUUGGUUUAUUUCUUAGUUCAUGGUUUAUCUGCAGAGAUAUAAACGCAGUUGUUCCUGUUAUGUAUUUCUUCCUUUGAUGAUGCUAGGGUAUUAAUGUCAGCCUUGUUGAAGAAAGAAUGAGACAAAUUUACAAAGACAAUAUUAAAUACCAGCUAGGGCUGUUAUUUAUUGGAUUUAUUGUUGAGGGAAUAGGGUGUCAGUUAAAAAAAGGAGUUUCUUUGUGAACAAAACACUCAUAAUGUACAAUCAAUUUUCCUAGUGGUGUGAAUGAAAUAGAGAACAAAGCUAAAGAUGAUUGAUGAAUAAGCUAAGGUUUGAAAGCAGUGUUUUGGAAGUACUUGUUAGGACCAAUGUAAUGAACAUGCCAUUAAAAUAUUAUUUAAAAUUUA